rnacentral:rRNA from 1 species
GAUGAACGCUGGCGGCGUGCCUAAUACAUGCAAGUCGAGCGAACAGACGAGAAGCUUGCUUCUCUGAUGUUAGCGGCGGACGGGUGAGUAACACGUGGAUAACCUACCUAUAAGACUGGGAUAACUUCGGGAAACCGUAGCUAAUACCGGAUAAUAUUUUGAACCGCAUGGUUCAAUAGUGAAAGACGGUCUUGCUGUCACUUAUAGAUGGAUCCGCGCUGCAUUAGCUAGUUGGUAAGGUAACGGCUUACCAAGGCAACGAUGCAUAGCCGACCUGAGAGGGUGAUCGGCCACACUGGAACUGAGACACGGUCCAGACUCCUACGGGAGGCAGCAGUAGGGAAUCUUCCGCAAUGGGCGAAAGCCUGACGGAGCAACGCCGCGUGAGUGAUGAAGGUCUUCGGAUCGUAAAACUCUGUUAUUAGGGAAGAACAAAUGUGUAAGUAACUAUGCACAUCUUGACGGUACCUAAUCAGAAAGCCACGGCUAACUACGUG